UUGAACGCUGGCGGCAUGCCUGACACAUGCAAGUCGGACGGCAGCGCGGGCUUCGGCCUGGCGGCGAGUGGCGAACGGGUGAGUAAAACAUCGGAACGUGUCCAUUAGAGGGGGAUAGCCCGGCGAAAGCCGGAUUAAUACCGCAUACGCUCUACGGAGGAAAGUGGGGGACCUUCGGGCCUCACGCUAACGGGGCGGCCGAUGGCAGAUUAGCUAGUUGGUGGGGUAAAGGCCUACCAAGGCGACGAUCUGUAGCUGGUCUGAGAGGACGACCAGCCACACUGGGACUGAGACACGGCCCAGACUCCUACGGGAGGCAGCAGUGGGGAAUUUUGGACAAUGGGGGCAACCCUGAUCCAGCAAUGCCGCGUGUGUGAAGAAGGCCUUCGGGUUGUAAAGCACUUUUGUUCGGAAAGAAAGCAUCUACGUGAAUAACUUAGAUGGAUGACGGUACCGGAAGAAUAAGCACCGGCUAACUACGUGCCAGCAGCCGCGGUAGUACGUAGGGUGCAAGCGUUAAUCGGAAUGACUGGGCGUAAAGGGUGCGCAGGCGGUUUGUUAAGACGGAUGUGAAAGCCCCAGGCUCAACCUGGGAAUAGCAUACGUGACUGGCAAACUAGAAUAUGGCAGAGGGAGGCGGAAUUCCAUGUGUAGCAGUGAAAUGCGUAGAGAUGUGGAGGAACACCGAUGGCGAAGGCAGCCUCCUGGGCCAAUAUUGACGCUCAGGCACGAAAGCGUGGGGAGCAAACAGGAUUAGAUACCCUGGUAGUCCACGCCCUAAACGAUGUCAACUGGUUGUUAGGGGAAUUUUCCUUAGUAACGUAGCUUACGCGUGAAGUUGACCGCCUGGGGAGUACGGUCGCAAGACUAAAACUCAAAGGAAUUGACGGGGACCCGCACAAGCGGUGGAUGAUGUGGAUUAAUUCGAUGCAACGCGAAAAACCUUACCUACCCUUGACAUGUACGGAACCUAGCUGAAAGGUUGGGGUGCUCGAAAGAGAGCCGUAACACAGGUGCUGCAUGGCUGUCGUCAGCUCGUGUCGUGAGAUGUUGGGUUAAGUCCCGCAACGAGCGCAACCCUCGUCCUUAGUUGCUACGUUAAGGCACUCUAAGGAGACUGCCGGUGACAAGCCGGAGGAAGGCGGGGAUGACGUCAAGUCCUCGUGGCCCUUACGGGUAGGGCUUCACACGUCAUACAAUGGUCGGUACAGAGGGUCGCGAACCUGUGAAGGGGAGCUAAUCUCAGAAAACCGAUCGUAGUCCGGAUUGCAGUCUGCAACUCGACUGCAUGAAGUUGGAAUCGCUAGUAAUCGCAGAUCAGCAUGCUGUGGUGAAUACGUUCUCGGGUCUUGUACACACCGCCCGUCACACCAUGGAAGUGGGUAUUACCAGAAGUGGCUAGUUUAACCGCAAGGAGAACGGCUACCACGGUAGGAUCCAUGACUGGGGUG
rnacentral:rRNA from 1 species